rnacentral:rRNA from 1 species
CCUACGGGAGGCAGCAGUGGGGAAUAUUGCACAAUGGGGGAAACCCUGAUGCAGCGACGCCGCGUGAGUGAAGAAGUAAUUCGGUAUGUAAAGCUCUAUCAGCAGGGAAGAAAAUGACGGUACCUGUGUAAGAAGCCACGGCUAACUACGUGCCAGCAGCCGCGGUAAUACGUAGGGGGCAAGCGUUAUCCGGAUUUACUGGGUGUAAAGGGAGCGUAGACGGCAGUGCAAGUCUGGAGUGAAAGGCGGGGGCUCAACCCCCGGACUGCUCUGGAUACUGUACGGCUGGAGUGCAGGAGAGGUAAGUAGAAUUCCUGGUGUAGCGGUGAAAUGCGUAGAUAUUAGGAGGAACACCGGUGGCGAAGGCGGCUUACUGGACUGUGACUGACGUCGAGGCUCGAAAGCGUGGGGAGCAAACAGGAUUAGAUACCCUGGUAGUC